rnacentral:rRNA from 1 species
CGGACGGGUGAGUAACGCGUGGGUAACCUGCCUCAUACAGGGGGAUAACAGUUAGAAAUGACUGCUAAUACCGCAUAAGCGCACAGAAUCGCAUGAUUCGGUGUGAAAAACUCCGGUGGUAUGAGAUGGACCCGCGUCUGAUUAGCUAGUUGGUGGGGUAAAGGCCUACCAAGGCGACGAUCAGUAGCCGGCCUGAGAGGGCGACCGGCCACAUUGGGACUGAGACACGGCCCAAACUCCUACGGAAGGCAGCAG